ensembl:snRNA U5 U5 spliceosomal RNA
GGGUUCCUCUUCAUUCACGCAUAAAUCUUUCGCCUUUUACUAAAGAUUUCCAUAGAGGAAACC